AACCUGGGAACUGCAUUCGAAACUGGCAGGCUUGAGUCUUGUAGAGGGGGGUAGAAUUCCAGGUGUAGCGGUGAAAUGCGUAGAGAUCUGGAGGAAUACCGGUGGCGAAGGCGGCCCCCUGGACAAAGACUGACGCUCAGGUGCGAAAGCGUGGGGAGCAAACAGGAUUAGAUACCCUGGUAGUCCACGCCGUAAACGAUGUCUACUUGGAGGUUGUGCCCUUGAGGCGUGGCUUCCGGAGCUAACGCGUUAAGUAGACCGCCUGGGGAGUACGGCCGCAAGGUUAAAACUCAAAUGAAUUGACGGGGGCCCGCACAAGCGGUGGAGCAUGUGGUUUAAUUCGAUGCAACGCGAAGAACCUUACC
rnacentral:rRNA from 1 species